GAUCUGGCUCAGGAUGAACGCUAGCGGCAGGCUUAACACAUGCAAGUCGAGGGGCAGCGGGAUGUAGCAAUACAUUGCCGGCGACCGGCGGAUGGGUGCGUAACGCGUAUGCAACCUACCUUAUACAGGGGAAUAACCUUUCGAAAGGGAGACUAACACCCCAUAGUAUUGAUUUAAGGCAUCUUAGAUUAAUUAAAUAUUUAUAGGUAUAAGAUGGGCAUGCGUAUGAUUAGCUAGUUGGUAAGGUAACGGCUUACCAAGGCGACGAUCAUUAGGGGUUCUGAGAGGAAGGUCCCCCACACUGGUACUGAGACACGGACCAGACUCCUACGGGAGGCAGCAGUGAGGAAUAUUGGUCAAUGGGCGCAAGCCUGAACCAGCCAUGCCGCGUGCAGGAAAGACGGCCUUAUGGGUUGUAAACUGCUUUUACAUAAGACUAACCGUAUAUUUGCGAAUAUACCUGAAUGUAUUAUGAGAAUAAGGAUCGGCUAACUCCGUGCCAGCCGCUGC
rnacentral:rRNA from 1 species